rnacentral:misc_RNA from 1 species
GAUGAAGAACGUAGUGAAAUGCGAUAAGUAAUGUGAAUUGCAGAAUUCAGUGAAUCAUCGAAUCUUUGAACGCACCUUGCGCCCUUUGGCCAUUCCGAAGGGCAUGCCUGUUUGAGUAUCAUGAACACCUCAACUCUCAUGGCUUGCCAUGAUGAGCUUGGACUUUGGGGGUCUUGCUGGCCUGCGGCCAGCUCCUCUCAAAUGAAUUAGCUUUCCAGUGUUUGGUUGGCAUCACAGGUGUGAUAACUAUCUACGCUUGUGGUUUCCACCAGGUAACCUUCAGUAACAUGGGGGUUUGCUGGAGCUCACAAAUGUCUCUCCUCAGUGGGGACAGCUCUUUGAACGUUUGAUCUCAAAUCAGGUAGGACUACCCGCUGAACUUAAGCAUAUCAAUAAGCGGAGGA